CCUGGGCCCGCGGCUCAAACUCACGAAGACACUGCCUUCCCGUCUAGAAGCAGCAGCUUAGAGAGAAUCAAGGGUGUCGGUUCUGAAGGUUUUCAGGAGCGCAUUUCCACGUUCGCCCACACGGAAGGCUACUCAGAGCGCUUCCCUGUGGCUCCUAUCGCCGGGCACCACACCCUCUUUGCCCAGCACCACACCAACGUCUCUUCUCAAAGUCCAGGAACCAGACAGUGGAAACCGGCCUUCCAUGGCUGCCGUGGGCUCAGUCGAGCUCCUGACAGAGGCCCUCAAUUAUUGCAAACAAGUAAACUAAAUACAUAUCAGUAAGAUGGAAAUGUUGGGUGAACUUUUGAACAACAAUUAGCUGUUCUGGUGUAUGUACUGAACUUCGAAACCUUUGGUUCCUUGAAACCUUCGAGUUUUGUUAAAUUCAGUCAAAUGAUAGAAAUUUAUUGAAUCUCUAGAUCAUUUCCAAAUAAGAUAAUAUAUUAGACAGUAAUUCUUAGAUAGAGGUUUAGCUACUUUGGGCUUAUUUGGACACAGAAACCAAAAGAGGUUUGGGUCUGUUGGGAAACAUGUCUUGCAUUUUUAUCUGAAGAUUGUACCAUGAAGCAGUAUGUUUCUGGAAAUUAUAAAUAUAUUUAUAAAUUUGCAAAGCCACAGAAUGGCAGUGGAAAGGACCGUUUAUAAUUGCUUCCUUCUUGGUUUUUACUGAAAACAAGGUCUGUAAAGGCUGAGACUUCGAAGGAAGAGAUGAGAUUAAAGCUACUCAAAAUCAAGAAGCAAGACAUCUUUGUGCUCUAAGGAAAGUAAGGUGUAUGCUUUCAGUCGAGCAGACUUAAGGAAUGGAAAUAUUUUUCUUGGUUUUGGUAAGAAAGAUAAAUGGGUCCUAAAAAAGGAAAGAAGCCCUAGGACAAAUUUUUCAUGUCAAAAGAAGCUUCUAGAGUGAUGGGGGAAGAAACUCAAAGAAAACAGUUUUGUGCAUGAUCCAAAUGGCUGAUGUUGAAAAGUAGUUGAACCGAGUCAAUGAGCUUUCCUAUCAAAGGGAAGCUGUUGCUAAAUUAGAUUUUGGUUUUUGCCCUCUCUUAAAAGGAUCAUUUUCUUAAACUUUUCUUCUUUUCUGGGGAAAGAGAUUAGGAAAGAUUUUGAUGUCUUAUCAAAAUAAAUUUCCAGUAUUGUUUUGAUGAGGUCUUGAAUCACACCAAGUGGCUAAGAUGUUUCACACACCCGUUUGAUUUUCUGCACUUGCCUGAAAAACUUUCAUGGUCACCAUGUUUCCAUGGAUAGCUAAGCAUGGUUUCCUCAGGAUCUAGGCUAUGCUGUGGGUAAAUGUUUCUAGAAGGGUUUUAAAAAUUAGAUAGCAUUCCUAAAAUGCUGAUUUAUCCUGGUUAACACUCAUCAUUGUAAUUGUUAUCUUCAAGUGUUCUAGGUCACAAAAAUAACCAAAUUUCUUCAUCCAUUGCCAUUUUGAAAUCCUUUGUCCUUUACAGACAGUUUGGUUUGACUCUGUUUUUGCAAGUCUCUUUCAUCUUCAGAGAGGGUCACGGAAAGGACUUUGAAACUGACUCCGGAGGACAGGCUUCUGACCAACUUUCAGAUCAGAAAGUUGAACUGUUUGAGAAAGUGCAGAACUCUAUUGCAGAGACUGACUACUUCAGGAAACCGCAAAAGAAGCUCAAGCUCAAGCGAGAUGCGAUCAGCUGGGACUGAGGGCACUCUGCUCUGUCAAAUCUGCAGAAGUCGUGCUCCUAGCAGUAAAUCGUACAUAGGAACGGUUUAAAUUUCGUGCUGGGCCUUGCCCACAAGUCACUGUGCUGUGUGAGUCAGCCAGAAAU
rnacentral:lncRNA from 1 species